UCGUGGCAGAUGGUGAGCAGAAGUCGGGGUAUAGAAGCUGCGGAGGUUACAGGUGAACAGACUGGCACUCUGCAGGAUGCAUGCACAACUGACGGAGUCGUCUGGGGUCCAAUGUUUGGUGUCACCACUCUGCACUUACUACAUAGAAGAUUAAGAUUUCAUUGAUGUCAGAGACAAGUUAUGCAGUCUACUGGACAGGUGCAGAACAGUCCAGAUAUUGGUUGAAAGAGAUAUUAUCGUGUGGGACAUAUUCAGUGCUGAAGACAAUGGUAAGCAGUUUUACUCAUAUACGAG